rnacentral:misc_RNA from 1 species
AACAAGGCGUACCUGCGGACCUGCGGAAGGAUCAUUACCGAGUGUGAACCCCCCCGUAAAAAAGAGGGGUUACCUCCCGUCCUUUGCUGGGAACCCCUUUCCAACUUGGAAGGAGGUUGUUUUCAGACCCUUCUGCUUCGGUGGGGUAACCCACCGGAACAACCUCAAAAAUAUUCUCAAUUCAAAACCGUUCAGUCCGAGAACUUUUUUGAAAAGCGAAAAAACUUUCAGCAACGGAUC